AUUAAAAUCUAGUCAGGCAAAUAUUUAAUUAUUCUGUACUCAAGUAGGCUAUAGAGAAGAGUGCAGUGUUCUAGGAAGUGGUGUUUGUGACGAGCUUGGGUGAUUAGAGGGUAUAGUGGUCAUCAGGGCGUCUCCCAGUUUUCCUUCUGUGGAAUUCUGCCACAUGCGUCUUCUCCCUGGCCCCUGCUCACCCUCCUCACUUCCCUCUUCUACUUCCUAAUUGUGGGACUUUGAGCUGGUUCUUCUAUGAAGUGUCUAAAUUUGCUCAUCUAUGAAACAGGCAUAAUAAUGUUACUGAAUCAAGUUCAUCUGCUCGCUGGUUGGUAGAAAGGAAGCUGCUUUUAAUUAGGAUGCCAGCAAUCUGGGGAGAUGGUGGAAUCGGUGUCCNNNNNNNNNNNNNNNNNNNNNNNNNNNNNNNNNNNNNNNNNNNNNNNNNNNNNNNNNNNNNNNNUUUAAGGGAAAAAGGGAAGUGAUCUCAGUUAAUCAUUCAGAUUGGGGGUCAGAGUCCUUGUUGUCCCCCCAUUGUGUGCAACCUUGUGGACUUCUUGUAAUUUUUCUUCAGAUGCUCCCUUGUUCACAUGUUUUCUCAAGAGAUUACAGAAGGGAAAGCUAAGGAAGCUUCUGGUUAUUUGCUGGUCACUUAUUCUUUCUUUCUACUUCUUAGAUCUAUAGAAAGAACCAAUAAGUUAGGCAAGUUCAUCUUUGGAAAACCCAAACAGUGUUUGGUACAGAAUGAGUGCUAUAUACAUAUCAUUGCCUUUUCUUUCUUAAACUUGAUAUUUUCUUCUCCUGCUUUAAAAAUCCAAAUGUAAAAUGGGGUGAUGAUGACCUGGCGGCAUGGCAGUGGAUGCUGGGUAGGAGUUUGUGUUUAGACGUGUCCAGGUGGAGGCCUCCCAAUUGGUCUCCACCUUGGCACUCAGCAGUAGGCCUGUCUUCUUAGGUGAGUGUGUUGACCUAGCCAACAGGACCAAGCAGGUCUGUUUUCCUUUUUAAGAGGAUGGGAGGCUGUGUAAAAUGUUGGUUUCAUUUCUGAUACAUUUUAAGCAGUUAUGUGUUGCUCAUGGUGGGGGUUGGGGGUGAGGGAAGGGCAUCUACAUCAGGCACCUGUUGAGCUGUGAGUGGAUGCAGACCUCAUCACCUGGCUCUCACGUCAGAGUUUGUGUCUUGGCAGAGACUGUAUAGUAAUUAUAGUAGAGAUUACUUUAUAAUAGACUGGCAUAGAUUGCAAUCUUAUCUGGUAACAGGUAACUUAUUAAUGAUCGUUUUGGUCUGUUGGCAGCCAUUCUGUCUUUAAACUGUGAGGCAGAUAUAAUCUCUCAAGAUGUGAGGGAUAAGUAAUUGGAUGGCGACCAUGAAGAACUCCUGGGCAUCAUGGGAAGUGUUUCCAAGAAGUCCACAUCAGACUGGAACUGCAGUUCAGGCAGAGGGCUGUAGAUCCCUUUGUAGAUAGCAGACUGGCAAAUCAAAAUCUUUGCUACUUUGAGGUUUUAUUUGGGUACAUUUUCUUUUGUGUGCUUCCAGAGGAUUCCAAGGACCUCCAGUCUGAAAGGGCAGAGCAGCUAAGAAAUUACUGUAGAAAUCCAUAUUGAGGAGGCCUAAUCUGCUGAGAUCAUAAAAGCAGCUUCACCUUGUUCUCCUUCUGACCAGAAAAUGCGUUUUAUAGAACAGAUAUUUCAAGAGGCUUGACAGUCUGCUUUGAAUGCAAUCUUUACAUACAUCCCAGUGCUGGCUCUGCCUUAAAUAGUUUUCUUCUACUGACAUGGUGAACAAAUAUGUAAUUAUGACUUGCCCCAAUUCUGUAGUACCACUUCUCUGCAAUAGAUUCUCCUCCUAACUCAUAGUUCAGCAGACUUCAACAUUAAAGGAUGGGCUAAAUUCUAGCUUGUCCCUCUUUUCUUGCAGUGGUGACCAGGCAUAGAUAGUUCUUUUUUUUUUUUUUUUUUUUUAAUUUUUCUGUGAGUAUGUCCCAUUGUGAUUCUGUAGAGGAGUAUAGACUCAUAGCAUAAAGUUUAUCCUUUGAGCCUCUUUUAAGAGUACAGUUCAGUGGCUUUAAGUACAUUUGAAUACUUGUGCUACCAUCAUCAUCUUCCAUCUUCAGAACAUUUUUAUCAUCCCAAAUUGAAAAUCUGUAUUCCGCAUUCUCCCCUUAGUUCAUCUUUGGCAAGUGUUUGUUUUUUUUUUUUUUAACUGAGUGCCUACUCAGUGCUGAAAAGUCAGAUGUACCUCUGCCCUCAAGGAUCUCAUAGGAGGAGAGUCUAGCAAUCUGGGGGUCAUUUUAAAAUGCUUUACAAAACAAAAAUCAUUUAAAAAAAAAAAAA
ensembl:lncRNA